rnacentral:rRNA from 1 species
AUCAACUUUCGAUGGUAGGAUAGAGGCCUACCAUGGUGGUAACGGGUAACGGGGUGUUAGGGCACGACACCGGAGAGGGAGCCUGAGAAACGGCUACCACAUCCAAGGAUGGCAGCAGGCGCGCAAAUUACCCAAUCCCGACACGGGGAGGUAGUGACAAUAAAUAACAAUACGGGGUUCUUUAGGAUUUCGUAAUUGGAAUGAGUACAAUUUAAAUCUCUUAACGAGGAACAAUUGGAGGGCAAGUCUGGUGCCAGCAGCCGCGGUAAUUCCAGCUCCAAUAGCGUAUAUUAAAGUUGUUGCAGUUAAAAAGCUCGUAGUUGAAUUUCGGGGUCAGUAGGUCGGUCAUGCCACUGGUAUGUACUGGUCUCACUGAUUCCUCCUUCCUGAUGAACCGUAAUGCCAUUAAUUUGGUGUUGCGGGGAGACUGGACUGUUACUUUGAAAAAAUUAGAGUGUUUAAAGCAGGCUAACGCUUGAAUACAUUAGCAUGGAAUAACGGAAUAGGACGUUCGAUCUUAUUUUGUUGGUUUCUAAGAUUGACGUAAUGAUUAAUAGGGAUAGUUGGGGGCAUUAGUAUUCAAUUGUCAGAGGUGAAAUUCUUGGAUUUAUUGAAGACUAACUACUGCGAAAGCAUUUGCCAAGGAUGUUUUCAUUAAUCAAGAACGAAAGUUAGGGGAUCGAAGACGAUCAGAUACCGUCGUAGUCUUAACCAUAAACUAUGCCGACUAGGGAUCGGAUGAUGUUAAUUUUUUAAUGACUCAUUCGGCGCCUUACGGGAAACCAAAGUGUUUGGGUUC